UCACUAUAGGCUGUGCAUAUACUAAAAUUGGAACAAUACAGAGAAGAUUAUCAUGGCCCUGCGCAAGGAAGACAUGCAAAUUUGUGAAUCGUUUCAUGGUUUU
ensembl:snRNA U6 U6 spliceosomal RNA